AUAGCUUAAGCGCGCAGUUGAUUGGAAGGUGAUGAAAUGACUUAAAUGCCCCUCCAAAACUUCAACAAUUACGGAAUUGGCACUAUAUAAACCCUCUUUUUGUUGCCCUAGUCGCUCCUCUCCUCACACUCCUCUUCUCAUUUCCUCUCUUGGCGACUAGAAAACGAUCCUCCACAUCUCAAGAUCAGCUAAUCGAACGCCUCCACAUCUCCAAGAUCAGCCAAUCGAACUCCUUUCCUCCCUAUUUCCGUUGAUCUGCACCGAAAAGCGACCAUUCAUAGCCAUUGGACGAGUUCGACACCUGAGUAUUCAGGUAAGAUUCUUCUACUCAAUUUUCAGUGUUCUUGUUAAAUUUUUGCUCAAUUUGUGCUCAAUUCUUGUUCACUUUUUGCUGUAGUGUUAAACCAAAAUCACUUUUGGUUCAGUGUUUAUGUAUAGGUUUCCUUUUGAUAUCUAUAUAACAAGAGACAAAUGUCCUGAUAUUGUUUCAACAUUUUGAAAUUAAGAUAAAUUGUGUUUCAGUGAGAAAAUUCAAAAUAAUUGUGUCUUUCAUAUAGGUGAAAGUUGUGGUAUGUACACAAUUCUCAUUUGUACUUUUAUGAAAUACAAUUAUUUUUGAGUUGUUUUCACUU